rnacentral:rRNA from 2 species
GGCCUCCUUGGACAUUCGAGGGUAUGGGCAUUGGAGACGAUGUCCUUCAGUUAGGCUGGCCCCAGAACAGGUGCUGCAUGGCUGUCGUCAGCUCGUGUCGUGAGAUGUUGGGUUAAGUCCCGCAACGAGCGCAACCCUCGCCCUUAGUUGCCAGCAUUUAGUUGGGCACUCUAAGGGGACUGCCGGUGAUAAGCCGAGAGGAAGGUGGGGAUGACGUCAAGUCCUCAUGGCCCUUACGGGCUGGGCUACACACGUGCUACAAUGGUGGUGACAGUGGGCAGCGAGACAGCGAUGUCGAGCUAAUCUCCAAAAGCCAUCUCAGUUCGGAUUGCACUCUGCAACUCGAGUGCAUGAAGUUGGAAUCGCUAGUAAUCGCAGAUCANCAUGCUGCGGUGAAUACGUUCCCGGGUCUUGUACACACGAAA